AGUAACGGCGAGUGAAGCGGCAAAAGCUCAAAUUUGAAAUCCUGCGGGAAUUGUAAUUUGAAGGUUUCGUGGUCUGAGUCGGCCGCGCCCAAGUCCAUUGGAACAUGGCGCCUGGGAGGGUGAGAGCCCCGUCUGGCGCACGCCGACUCUUUGCACCGCGGCUCCGACGAGUCGAGUUGUUUGGGAAUGCAGCUCUAAGUGGGUGGUAAAUUCCAUCUAAAGCUAAAUAUUGGCGAGAGACCGAUAGCGAACAAGUACAGUGAUGGAAAGAUGAAAAGCACUUUGAAAAGAGAGUGAAACAGCACGUGAAAUUGUUGAAAGGGAAGGGCUUGCAAGCAGACACGGUUUUACCGGGCCAGCGUCGAAAAGGGGGGAGGAACAAGAACUCGAGAAUGUGGCGCGCACCUUCGGGCGCGCGUGUUAUAGCUCGUGUUGACGCCUCCAUCCCUUUUCGAGGCCUGCGAUUCUAGGACGCUGGCGUAAUGGUUGCAAGCCGCCCGUCUUGAAACACGGACCUCCUGU
rnacentral:rRNA from 1 species